rnacentral:lncRNA from 1 species
GAGGCACAUCUGUGAUCUGCUCUAGCCGAGGGAGAGUGGUUGAAACGUUGGUUGAUUGACCCACCUCUUUAGCAUUGAGCUUGUGGAGAGGGUGCUUUCUAUCAUGCUGCCGAUUUAUGCCAGCCUGAAUAUAAGGGUAUGGGGAUCAGCCUGCAUCCCAAAAGUGAUGACUAGGGACCUAUAUGAGACAUAUAGGGGGCCCUCGACUA